CCCUUAGAUGUUCUGGGCCGCACGCGCGCUACACUGAUGCAUUCAACGAGUUUUUCCUGGUCCGAGAGGAAUGGGUAACCUUUUGAAAGUGCAUCGUGCUAGGGAUAGACUAUUGCAAUUAUUGGUCUUCAACGAGGAAUUCCUAGUAGACGUAGUUCAUCAGACUGCAUCGAUUACGUCCCUGCCCUUUGUACACACCGCCCGUCGCUCCUACCGAUUGGAUGGUUUAGUGAGAUCCUCGGAUUGGUCCCGGAGCGGCCUCUGGUCGUGCCGGAGUGCCGAAAAGAAUGUCGAACUUGAUCAUCUAGAGGAAGUAAAAGUCGUAACA
rnacentral:rRNA from 1 species